AUACGGAGGGGGUUAGCGUUGUUCGGAAUUACUGGGCGUAAAGCGCACGUAGGCGGACUGGGAAGUUGGGGGUGAAAUCCCGGGGCUCAACCCCGGAACUGCCUCCAAAACUUCCAAUCUAGAGAUCGAGAGAGGUGAGUGGAAUUACAAGUGUAGAGGUGAAAUUCGUAGAUAUUUGGAGGAAAACCAGUGGCGAAGGCGGCUCACUGGCUCGAUACUGACGCUGAGGUGCGAAAGCGUGGGGAGCAAACAGGAUUAGAUACCCUAGUAGUCC
rnacentral:rRNA from 1 species